rnacentral:rRNA from 1 species
GUAGGGAAUCUUCCACAAUGGACGAAAGUCUGAUGGAGCAACGCCGCGUGAGUGAAGAAGGGUUUCGGCUCGUAAAACUCUGUUGUUAAAGAAGAACAUAUCUGAGAGUAACUGUUCAGGUAUUGACGGUAUUUAACCAGAAAGCCACGGCUAACUACGCGCCAG